ensembl:lncRNA
ACUUUCAUGAGCCCUUUCUUACCAAAGAGGAAUACUCACUUCAUAGUCAUGCCCUCCUCAUGUCACCACUUUUUGGCAGUACGCACAUUUGUGAACAACUGUUUUCAAGGAUGAAGCACAGGAAGAGUGAAAUUUCAUCAAGGAUCUCUGAUGAACACCUUGAGAGCUCAUUGAGAAUUGCAGCUAUUGCCACUGAACCAGCUAUUUAUGCAUUUAUUUAACAAAAAAAAAAGAUCACAUAUCCCACUAGUUUUACGCUUUUGUUGCUCUUUUUUCUUUUUGUUUCAAUAAAAAAUAUUUUAAAAUAAGUAUUGUUACUUAAACACAAUAACUACAUUAUAUAGUUUAUACACAGCCCUAGAGUCACUUAUACACAUUAGCUACAUUAUAUAUUUCAUAUGCAUUCCAAGACAAUUUCCCUUCAUUCAGCGUGGCCCAGGCAAGCCAAAGGUUGGACACUCGUGCCUUAGACCUUGGUCUCUUUCCUUCCCCAGAGCAGCAGCAGAACCCGUGUGCUUGCAGCUCCAUGCCAUGCCCAUUGGCUCCUACAUCAGCAUGGUGCAGUUUUGCAACUGUCUAUGCUGUUUUAAAACAAACAGCUGGAAUGGCCCAUUGAGCAAUUGUCAGUUGCAACAAAAACUCACAUGAAGGUUGUGAAGGUUUCCAGCAAGCAAUUACACGUUACACUGGUGUUUCUGCCUCUCUGUUUAGACUAACUUGUAGCGGUUUAUGGGAAUUAUCUUUCCAGCAAUUUGCAGGGACUUCCAAAAUAUGUAGUUCAGCCAAAUACAAAACAGAAAUAACCACAACCAGUGAGGAAUUCCCCUACUCAUGAAUUAUAACAAAUAAAUACAAAUACCCACUAUGCGAGAAGAUGGAAGCAGAUGCAAGCAAGAGAAAACAUAAGUGAAAAUGUCAUGCUGAUUUUUCUCUCUUUGAGCUAAAUACCCACAUGAACACCUCCCUCAAACUUGUUCCUGUAAGCACAGCUGCCUGAAACAGGAGCAAUCAGGAAGAUGCAGCUUUUGAUGGCUUCUGUGGCAACUGAAAUGGGAAUCUGGAGCCUCUCAAAGUGAAGCUGCUGCUCAGUGAUGGAUACAAUCUAUGCAAAUGGCUGUGCUCCCACGUAAUACUGUGGGAUAGGCACUGGCUGCCAGCUGCGAUACAGACAAAUAGUCAUAUCAUUCAAAAAGCACAGCAGGCUGCAGAACCAGUUCAAGAUUUUCAAGGCAUUUGCACAAAGAUGUUCUAGGUGUCCGUUCACAGGUAUCUGCAUUGGCAGCCCAGCCCUCCUGCAUGGAAGUCCCACAGGCAUGAAGCAGUCAGGGCCUGAGCACUGUCCUCCCUUGCUCUCGUUCCGGAUCCAAGUUUUCAUCACAUUGAAACUCUACCACUCAUGAAUGGAGACUGAAGGCACGUAUUACUUCAGAGAAUGUAGCGAAGUUCACCGUAAGUACAGGUCUGGAAAAGGCUGUUGUAACAAUCCAAUCUGCAGGCAGAAGUUUUUCUGACAGCUGCUCCAAGAGCAGCCCCUGCCCCGACCCCGCUCACCACAUCCCAGUGCAUGGAGAUUUUUCCCCACAGCCGCAAGCUCUGGGGUCACUACAGUAAGGUUUUUUCCCAGUGGUUUUUCCAUGUAGAGUGAAAGUCCUACACAAUCAAGGGAACUGAAAAGUGUAUAUGCUACGUAGCCUUUAUUCCAGUACCCUUGAACACUGUCUCCAACAUAUUUCCUAUUUCAUAGUAGCCAAGCAUUGUAGCUUCUUUACAGGUGAGGGACCAAUUGAGAAUUUCCCUGCCUUGGAAAUGAGAAAAGACAGUCCUGGUAUCAGCUGUAUGUUUUAGGGGAGCCCCCGGUGUCCUGAAAAAAUAAAUCAUUUAGAGGAAACCAAUAUUAUGCCUCACUGUCAUCCCGUGUCAGACCAGGCUACAGGUGAACGUGAGUUUAGUGUUGCUAUUUAUUGCCAGCUAGCCACUAAUCCCAUUUCCCACUGCUGAAAUAAGGCAUUAAGUGUCAACACGCUUUCCUAUUGAAAGGAAGACAUUCCAAACAGCUGUAUCCUUCAAAGGCUUUGGCCUUUUCUUUCCCCUCACUGUCUCCCUAGGUAGCCCUUCAAGACACACUGUUAUGUGGGAUGCCAACUGCUUGCUAUUCAUCAUGGCCCCAUUCUCCGGGGGGCCAUUGAUUUUGAAUAAUUUAUCACCCAAUGUUUCGUGUGUUGCUGCAGAAAUAAAUCAGAACUGGGAGCGCCAGAUGCUCCCACAUCCCAUUGCCCCGUGUUAAUUUAUUAAAGAGGGGUUUUCUCGACACAGCCUCAGGGUGCAGGAAUCUCCUGCGCAAGGAGCGCUGGGGAUGGGGGGUUUGCUCUGAGCCAAGUGUGAAGACCGUUGAAAGAGAGAAAGAUUUGGAGAGAGACUCCAGUGUGGAAGUACACGAGCCUGGAAACCCUCAAAGGGUGAGCAGGCGGUCAGCUUUCCAAGCAGAACUAGUGGUCACAGAGCUCCAAGAAAAAUAUAUUUAGUCCUUAAGCGUGUAGCUUUUGUUCUGGGCUCGCAGACUCUUUGUUUCUUGGACCAGGUCUCACACCCGGAUAUGGCAAGUAAAUAACAAGCCAUAAAUCACAGAUGUGAAGCUUGCUUUUCUUUCUUCAAGGUUGUAUAAUAUAAUGAAAAUGAUCAAGCAAACACAAAGCUAUUUUACACUGCACAUGCACAGAGUGCAAAAGCCUUGAGUCUCUUCCAAUGAACCCACAAGAAUGAUGGGCCUCCUGUUAACAUGAAGAUCUAUUUUUCUGAGGCAUCCUACAAAUCCUCUCAUGGGUUGAAGGGUUUCUCCUAUUGUUUUCUUUAAUGCUCUUGCAAUGCAGUUAAUUGAACAUAUAAUGACCCUUCAUUCAAACCUUCUGCACAUGUAUAUUAUGGUACUUUCAUCAAAUGAGCCUUUGGCAGAACAGGAAACUCAAAUUUCCUAUGUUCUUUCCCAGGGACUUGAAUGUGUGUCAACAGCUUUUUGGUACUUACCACUCUUAGUCAUUUCUCACUCCCCUGUCAGAGCUCAUUAACCACUGCUGCUAAGAUACAGUCUUGUCUCUGAGGCCACCGCUGGAGCACCAGACUGAUCGUCCUGGAGGACAGGAGGCCUCUGGGAUGUCUUGUUCUUGAAGUCCAGACCUGCCAAGUCUAUGCCCUCUGUUCCAGCAUUUUCUAAGUCGGCAGUGCCUGGAGUCCUGCUGCUGGUGUUAUUCUGAAAACAGUUCCUCAUAGAAUAUUGGAAUGAUAGAAUCAUUAAGAGUGGAAAAGACCAGUGGGAUCAUCUAGUCCAAUCACCAGCCCAUCCCCACCAUGCCCACUGCCCACAUUCCUCAGUGCCACAUCCACACAGCCCUUGAACACCUCCAGGGACGGUGACUCCGCCACCUCCCUGAGCAGCCUGUGCCACUGCAUCACUGCUCUCUCUGAGAAGAAAUGUUUCCUAAUAUCCAAGCUGCCACAACUUGAGGCUAUUACCUCUCGUCCUACCUGCGAGGGGAAGAAAACCCUAGACUGCGUGAUUCUAAUACCCUCCCCAAAACAAAGUAACACCUUGUCUAGGGUUGUACCUGCACCACAGAAUAGGAGGAUAUCCGGUACUGCUGGCACUUUAGCAUCCUCUGCUAAUCUCUGAGCUUACAUGCUUAACAACUGGACUUAAGAGCAUCGUAUAUAUUUACUGCUAUGGUGAUAGCAAUAAAAAGCACUUCCUUGACACUCCUUUCCUUUGCAACAUUUCAAAGCUCUGCCACGCCUCCAAAAGGAUUUAGCAACCUUCAACAGAGCGAGCUGGUGUUGAGUUGUCUUCAGAAUGUGGUUGCCAUUAGGCACCAAAAAGGGCACCCCCAAACCUACAGAGUGGCCGUGGAGCUUUGCUGAGCAUUACAUGUGAGCAGAGAACAAAUGCACAGGCAUGUUCUCGAGGGGUGCACCCCUCUGCAACACUGCUGAUAUUGAAACUCCAAACUUCAGGGUGAAGUAGGAAGGCUUGUGAAAUGCAAACAGCCUGAAGCCCAGCAGAAAGCACUGCUCACUACUGAUCACACUUUUGCAGAACAACAAAGAAAAAGAGAUUUCCUGGGAUCCCAAAGGCCCUUUGUAGGCAUGAAGGUUAUGGAGACGACCACCAAAAGAGGAAAGGCACGAAUCUCAACAGCCACCUGAGUUGUUUCCACUGGAAAUAGGCUUCCAUACAAGUGGCAAAACAGAAGAAAUAAAGCAACAGUGAAACAAAUGUAAACGUAUUUCAUCCUCAUGAUAGAAUUACAGAAUCAUAGAAUUGCUCAGGUUGGAAAAGACCUUCAAGAUCAUUAAGUCCAACCACAACCUAACCAUAUUACCCUAACUCUAACAACUCUCUGUUACAUCAUGUCCCUGAGCAUCACAUCCAAAUGGUUUUUAAACACGUUCAAGGAUGGUGACUCAAUCACCUCCCUGGGGAGCAUAUUCCAGUGCUUCACAACCCUUUCUGUAAAGAAGGUUUUCCUGAUAUCCAAACUAAGCCUCCCCUGGAGCAACUUGAGGCCAUUUCCUUUCGUCCUGCCACCAGUAAGAAGAGACCAACCUCACUCUCACUGCAAUCACCUUUCAGGUGUUUGAAGAGAGCAAAAAGGUCUCCCAACAAUGCAUUACUGAAUGCAAGACUGGUUGCUGUACUGCAUACCUCUGGCAUUUCAUGUUCAUCGGAACAUGCCUGACAGGGCAAAAGCUUUAUUUUGGUGCAUUCAGACAAUAUGAUUUCAAUAACACAGGAAGAAAUGUCCUUCAGCAGGAAAAUUAGUGAACGGAUAGAGGUGGUUCAUUGUGUAACUGUUUGUCAAGAAGAACGGCACCCUACCACGCUGCAAAAUAAAGCUCUUUUAGACAAAGGAAAUUGUUGUUUUUUUUUUUGUUGCGAAUGGCUUAAUUAAUCAUUUUCCUCAGCUCAAGAAGAAAAGAGCCUUGAGCUACAAGAGCUCUGCUUGUGAUCCAGGCACAAAGGCAUCCUCUCCCAGAAUUCAUUUAGCUGUCAAAAUGGGGGAAAAUAAUGCCAGAAGAGAAGGUCAAAACUGGUGGAGUCCAGGCACUUUGAUAAUGCUUUUCCUUUAAAAACAAAAUAAUAAUGCUAAUAUAAAAGUACAGUGAAAGCUAACUCUACAGAAGGUAUCUGCAAAAGGGAGAGGCGGGGUGAGGCUACCACCAGCACUUUUAUGCGCAAUUCUUUCAUGUAAAUUAUUUCCAAUGGGAGCUCUUUCUCUUGCCUGCAGACAAAAGCAGAAUGCAUAGCUCUUGCCAGACCACCUGGGACAUGGGGAGGAUAGGAAAUUUCCAGAUGGGUUUUAAGACAAUUCAGUUAUAUUUAUACAGCCAGAAUAAAUGUUUUUUUUUCUGAGAUAGCGUUUCCCUUUGCUCUAUCUAGACCACCAAGAGAAGAGGGAGGCACAGAAAUUCUAUUGCAUUAAUAGGCUUGGUGUUUACAGUUUUGAUUUUUAUUAACUUGUGGGAGCUGUUUAUUGAGUCAUAAACUCCACUAAUGGGGAUAUUAUCUCUAAAUUAUAUAAGUACUAUAGUAUUUAGGUUAGUUAAAAGAAAGGUUUAAAACAGUUACGUACUUACAGUUUAUCUCAAUCACCAACAUGAUCCCAUAAUGGGAAUUUAAUUGCUAAUUGCUAGCUUAUAUUGCAAAAGAACUACAAUAACAACAGACAAUAUAUUGCCCGCAUAAACAUGUCCAGACAAUUCUAUAUUGCCUCCUUUCACUGCUAGCUUCUCAUCUGGUGCUUUUUUGUUGGCUUUUUAUUAUUAUUUAUUAUUAUUAUUAUUAUUAUUGUGGUGAUUUAAUUCCUAACUGCCUCAAAUUAGGAAACUCUCUUUGUCAGGAAGCAUUUCCACCAGUGCUUCAUUUGACUGAUUUUAGCAAGCCUUCUGCACACACUUCAAUAGUUUUAUACAAAAGGGACAGACUUAGACACAAACUUAAAUACUUUGCUAAAGUAGAUUCUCAGAGAGCUCUAAUAAGAGAAAUCCAGGUUCCAUUUACAUCCUCCUAAGUUCUUAUGCUUACCUAGCUGGAAUUUGACCAAAACCCACCAUCCUGAGUCUGAGCCUAGCUCUGAGAAGCCAGGUCACCCAGUGAGGCAUGGCCAUCAGUCUAAAAUCCAGAACAGCCCAAGGGAUGAAUCACAUGCAUAUUAAGUACAUAUCACAGGUUCACGGCCUGCCCAGCUCAACCUGGACCAUCUUCAGUUCUUCCACAUGUACCACUGUCACUGCACUGUGGCCAGGUAAUGUCACCAUGCCUGGUGGCAGCACUCCUCUAACAAUGUUGAUGUACCCAAGGAAGGAAUUCAUCUCACCCAACAGCAACACAGCCAUCUGCACCUAGCUGUCAGCGCAGAAGGAAGGGACUGUUUAAAUAAAAUGCUUCCACUGGACACCCCUGUGGGCAAUUCACUCCCAGAAAUGCCUCCUGCCCUUCCACUGGCAAGUUAGGAAUCAAGAGAGCUAUAGGAUACAUUGGCACUGGAGACAUCAGAAGAGAAAGAAGGUAAGCUCCACACAGAUAUAGAGGAGGCUGCAUCCCAUCUGCUGUAGCCACUCUGCAAAAGGUCUUCCUUUUGGCCUUCAGGACAACGACCUUCUUCCAACUGAUUCAUCUUUGAAAGUGGGAGCUUUCUCAAGCACUGUUAAGCUAUGCAAUUAAUUUAUGCUCUUCCAGAUCAUCUUCUCAUGCUGCCUGUCUGGGAUCAGCAUUAGAUAAGUUGAAUCAGCUCCUCCACUUCUCUUUGACUGUACGUCUUAAUAUAAAACUAGUCUGUUGGAGGAGGAGAGCAAAAAGGAUAGAUGGCCUGGCUGAAGGGCAGACCAGGACAGCCAGCUUAUUUAUGCACAAUACAUGUCAGGAAAAACUUCCAGAUGAUUCAGAAAUACCCAAAUGUGCAGAGAAAGAGUUUAUAUAACAAAUCCAUAUCCUUAAUAUACUGUGCCUGUGUUAACUUCCUCUUCUUAAUUAUACUCCCUCACUGGAUUUAAACUUCCCAUUGGAAACCGGUAGGGACAGGGAUGUGCCCCCACAACCCUUUCUGUGUUGUUUGGUCAUUGCCUAGAAAAAGAGUGCUGCUUCCACCCGCGCCUUAGUAACCAAUUGAUACAAACAACAUCAAAAAAUUAAUUCAGAGAAAAUAGUAACUUAGGAAAGUUUUGGUUUUUUUUUUUUUCCAAGAUAGUUCUCUCUAAAAUGUU